AGCGAACGCUGGCGGCAGGCCUAACACAUGCAAGUCGAACGGCUCUUCGGAGCAGUGGCGGACGGGUGAGUAACGCGUGGGAACGUGCCCUUUGGUUCGGAACAACACAGGGAAACUUGUGCUAAUACCGGAUGUGCCCUACGGGGGAAAGAUUUAUCGCCAUUGGAGCGGCCCGCGUUGGAUUAGGUAGUUGGUGGGGUAAAGGCCCACCAAGCCUACGAUCCAUAGCUGGUCUGAGAGGAUGAUCAGGCACACUGGGACUGAGACACGGCCCAGACUCCUACGGGAGGCAGCAGUGGGGAAUCUUGCGCAAUGGGCGAAAGCCUGACGCAGCCAUGCCGCGUGAAUGAUGAAGGUCUUAGGAUUGUAAAAUUCUUUCACCGGGGAGGAUAAUGACGGUACCCGGAGAAGAAGCCCCGGCUAACUUCGUGCCAGCCGCCGCGGUAACAC
rnacentral:rRNA from 1 species